ACCUCCAACGUUGACAAGUCUACCGUGUGAGCAUUGUGUGACGAGAUGAAGCUUGCCGUUCUCACUGUCCUGGCCCUGGUUGGUCUGUGUGCUGGACUCAGCCGUCUGCCUCCACCACCGCCACCGCCACCACCUCCACCACCACCCGGCAAUUUUUCAGGCCUCCCCCCACCACCCGGCAAUUUUUCGUUCCUCCCCCCACCACCCGGCAAUUUUUCGUUCCUCCCCCCACCACCCGGCAAUUUUUCAGGCCUCCCCCCACCACCCGGAAAUUUUUCAGGCCUCCCCCCACCACCCGGCAAUUUUUCGUUUCUCCCCCCACCACCCGGAAAUUUUUCGUUUCUCCCCCCACCACCCGGAAAUUUUUCGUUUCUCCCCCCACCACCCGGAAAUUUUUCGUUCCUCCCCCCACCACCCGGAAAUUUUUCGUUUCUCCCCCCCACCACCCGGAAAUUUUUCGUUUCUCCCCCCACCACCCGGAAAUUUUUCAGGUCUCCCCCCACCACCCGGAAAUUUUUCGUUUCUCCCCCCACCACCCGGCAAUUUUUCAGGCCUCCCCCCACCUCCCGGAAAUUUCUCAGGCCUCCCCCCACCACCCAGCAAUUUUUCAAGACUCCCCCCACCACCGCCUCCACCAACAGGCAGUUUCUCAGGAGUCCCCCUGCCUCCCCCACCACCUCCCCCAACAGGCAACUUUUCACGUCUACCACCUCCUCCCCCACCUCCACGUAUUCCACUACGAGGCUGAGCAAACUUUGAAACUGGCCAACAUUUCGAUACCAAACUUAAAACCUGGCCAACAUUUUGACAUUUAAACUUUGAAACUGGCCAACAUUUUGAAACCAAACUUGGAAUCUGGCCAACAUUUUGAAACCAAACUUGGAAUCUGGCCAACAUUUUGACAACAAAUGUGGAAUCUGGCCAACAUUUUGACACAAAAAUUAGAAACUGAACAAAUGUUCGAAACUGAAUUGCCACACAAUGCUUUGUUCUAGGAAUUACAAUUGAAUAAAAAUUUGAUGUAUUUGAAAU